GUUGAGGGUAGCUGUUAAUGAACAACUUUUAAGUUGGACAAAGGUGGUAAGUGGGUGGUAAGUCACGUGUCACUGUUUACAGAUGACAGGAAAGUAAAAUAAUAUGGGGAGGGCAGGAUACACUUCACUACAGGGAUUUUGGUAAAUUGGGGCACUGGACAGACCAGUGGCAGAUUAGAUUUAAAGGAUUUGUCCAAGCACCUUGGUCACUUUCAUGACUUAAAUGGAGGCAUGGUUUUACUAUUAACCCCUGUACUGCUGGAAGUG